GAUGCAGGCAGCUUCCAAGUACAAAUAAGAGAAACGGGACAUUCAUUUAAGGUCUCUUUUAUGGUAUCUGGGAAUGGCAAGAUGUCUCUUAAGUGAGUAAGUAAAACAAAUAUUCCUCUAGGUUGCCUUGCUUGUCUACUGUAGUCAUAACAAUGUUUAUCUUUAUAUUUCUCUUUACGUCAAUUCCAAGGCUGUAUGAUUAUUUUAUCUUGUCUGCUUUAUAAAGGGAUUGGUAAGGAAAUAGCUUUAUUGUAUUAUUAGUAUUUUGUACUGUGCUUGAUUUUUAUUCUAUAUAUAAGGGGUUUAAAUUUCUGUUUUGAGAUUGAUUGAUUGAUUUGUCUUUGAAAUAUCUUUAAUACACUGUUUGAUUUCUUUUGUGUUGUAUUGUAUCCCUGUACAGUCAUACCUCAGAAGCCGAACAGAAUCCAUUCCGGAAGUCCGUUCGACUUCCAAAAUGUUCAGAAAUCAAGGUGCAGCUUCCGAUUGGUUUCCGAUUGUGCAGGCACGCUGGAAACAAUAGCGGAAGCAGCGCCGGACAUUUGGCUUCCAAAAAAGAUUCGAAAACCUUCUGGUUUUCAAUCGUUUGGGAACCAGAACGUUCAACUCCCAAGGUGUUCGGGAGCCAAGGUAUGACUGUAUUCGAUUUUUAAAUUCUACAUUGAUUGGACUUUUUGUUUGAUAUUUGAACUCUAUUUUGUAAAAACUCCAGCGGGUGCAGAAUGCUGCAGCGAGACUCCUUACGAGGUCUUCGCUGCGAGAUCACAUACACCCAGUGCUAUACCAGCUGCACUGGCUCCCGGUGGAGUACAGGAUCAGGUUUAAGGUGCUGGUUUUAACCUUUAAAGCCCUAUACAGCCUAGGACCCUCGUACCUACGGGACCGCCUCUCCUGGUAUGCCCCAUAGAGGAACUUACGGUCUUCAAAUAAAAACAUCUUGAAGGUCCCAGGCCACAGAGAGGUUAGGCUGGCCUCAACCAGAGCCAGGGCUUUUUCGGCUGUGGCUCCGAUCUGGUGGAACACUCUGUCACAAGAGACUAGGGCCCUGCGGGACUUGACAUCUUUCCGCAGGGCCUGCAAGACAGAGCUGUUCCACCAGGCCUUUGGCCAGGGCACAGCCUGACUCCCUCCCUCGGCAAUCUUCGCGGAGCUCUGGCCCAAUGGUUGCCAGUGGCUUGAAUUAAUGAAUUUUAUAAUGAAUGAUUUUAGAGUGUUGUUUAUGCUGUACUUUUGUAUUGUUUUAUUGUUGUUAGCCGCCCUGAGCCCGGCUUCGGCUGGGGAGGGCGGGAUAUAAAUAAAAAUUAUUAUUAUUAUUAUUAUUAUUAUUAUUAUUAUUAUUAUUAUUAUUAAAUGGUUUGAUAUUCUUUUGCCUGCUACUGGACCUCUGCUUUGUAUAAUGUUCUGCAAUUCUAUUAGAUUCUUAUUUUCUGUAAAUUGCUUUUGAAUAUAAAGCAAUUAAGACAUUUUAUAAUAUAUUGCAAGCACAAAAGUCGAGGAAACUAAGCAUGUUCAUUAAGCAAGCAUGCGAUUGCUAGCAAACUCCUGAAUGCUGCAUCAACUGGCAAAGGCUUUCGGUGCAUAGUAUUUACCAAAUCUUCACCAGCCUUUUUGCAUCACUGGUCAUAGGCAACCAACAUACAAUUCCUACCCUUCCCUGGAGAAACAAGUUCCUUCACAUUCUUAAAAUGAAAGUAUGAAAGUUAAUCUUGUUUGUUUGUUUGUUUUAAAAAAGGUUAACCAUCAAAACCCAUUUCCCCACCAAAUACUUGCACUACAUAGUAACGUAAACCCCUGACAAAAAUUCAUUUAGAAACCAAAGUCUGCUUUGAACCAUUCUAGCCAAGAGAAGCCAAUCUGACUAAACUUGAAACAUGCAGGCUUGGGAAAUUCGUAAGAGAGAGAAAGUCAGCUUUAUUUGGCAAGCAGGGAACUGGCUGCCAGGAGAACAUCAAAACAACAAUGAAAACAAAAUACAAACUCGGGAGUGACACUUGGUAGCUGUUCUAGCAAAUCUCUUCGGAAAACUUUGGGUUUACAAACCAAAACACGGCUUCAGUCUUUUGUUGCAGUUGUAAAACAUUGAUACCUACUGCUAUCAGCUGCUGCUGAGAGCUACAGUGUUAUCACUGAAUGGAGAUUUUUAAAGGUAUUAAGCUUUUCCCCUCCUUUCUCAGCAACUAAAAAUCUAGGAGGAGGUGGCAGUAAGUUGCUUCUAAGUUGCAGGCCUUGAUGGCUGUCCUUUCAAAAUGUGACACAAAAAAAGAAUCAGUCAUGUUUAUAAGUUUGCAGCUUCUUAGCAGAAAUUCUGUUAGCAUUUUUUUAAAAUGCUGUGUUCCUGCCCACUUGCGCUGACACACACAAAGCCUUAACAACAGCAGUGAUUCACGGUCGGUUCCAGUCAUGCUCACAAGUGAUGUGGCACAUUUUCGGUGCCUCCGGUAUUUGCGUAAUUGAGCUUCAUUUGCUCUGCCCCCAGCCUGCGAGGAGUGCCAAAAAAGCAGCGGCGUCAUCUGCCCACAACUCAUCCUCCUACCUGCCUGAUGGAUGAUGCACGCAGCACGACACAGGAUGAGGAAGGGAGAAAAAUAAGGAUGACAAAAGCUGCAUUUGCUGAUCAGAGAAAGCUUCCUGAAUCAAAGCGGGGAGCGGGGGAAUAAGAAUGAAAGGCUGAUAACCAUGGAUUAGAGUCUCUAUUAGACACACAAACUUGCAACUUGUGUGUUUAACAUAUGCCAUUUUCAACUUUACACAGUUAAAGUCUGGCUGGUGGAAAAACACACAAAUUAAAUGCACAGAAGGCGGAGAGCUUAAAAGCUCAUUUUGUGCUGGGUUUUUCUGGGAGGCUCUCAGAUGGCCCUGCAAGAUCUCACAAGAACCUCACAGAGCCUAGUAAGUAAGGCAGAACACUUAAAAGCAGUUCCAAGGAGUUUUUGCGUGUCCCCGGAACAAAACCCUCACUCAAGUUGUGAGUUCCCUGUAUUGUAGCAAAAUUACCUGUUCUGAACAAAUUAAAUCUGUAUGCAUAUUGUGGCACAACUCGGUCUUAUUUACUCAGUAGUAAGUCCGACGGAAUUCAGUAGAACCUACUUCAUGAUAGGUGCGCAUAUCGUCUUUAAACGUUGGGAUUUUGGAAAGAUGUGUGAUGUGUUUCACUUCAUAGCAGGGCUUUAGGAAGUGACUUGGUCAAUAAAUCCAUCAGGACAAUGGGUGAAGGAGGGUGGAGCAUGGACUCUCUCUCUCUCUCUCUCUCUCUCUCUCUCUGUGGUGUGACGUUGUGCAUCCCCCAAACAUUCACCAGCUCCUCCAGCUCUCAAAAUCAGAGAACUCUGUGACCCCACAUGCCACCUCCCAUUAGGUGCCUAGAAGAUGGGAACCAGCUUGAGUCUGCUUCUCAGAAGAGCCCCUUUCAGUGGGAGAAUCCCCUAGCCAGAGUCCCCAGGAAAAGGGGAGGAAGGCAAAACAGACUCACAGCAUGAUCUUUCCAGACUUCCAGCAUGAAACAUGAAUGGCAGAACAAGAUGUCAGCAUGAACUUCUGGGCGCUUGGCUUUUGCCCCGUUCUACCAACCAAUGGGCACAGUGGCAAUUUCCCUUAACAUAAAAAGGUAAAGGACCCCUGACAGUUAAGUCCAGUUGCAAACAACUCUGGGGUUCUGGCGCUCAUCUCACUUUACUGGCCGAAGGAGCCGACGUUUGUCCGCAGACAGUUUUUCUGGGCCAUGUGGCCAGCAUGACUAAGCCGCUUCUGGCGAACCAGAGCAGCACACGGAAACGCCAUUUACCUUCCCGCCAGAGCGGUACCUGUUUAUCUACAUGCACUUUGAUGUGCUUUCGAACUGCUAGGUUGGCAGGAGCUGGGAAUGAGCAACGGGAGCUCACCCCGUUGCGGGGAUUCAAACCGUUGACAUUCUGAUCAGCAAGCCCUAGCCUCAGUGGUUUAGACCACACCACCACCCGCGUCCUUAACAUAGUUACCAUGAAUACACAUUUCUCUGUUAAAAAGCCUAGGGUGUUAUAUCGAUCUGGGGAGGAAAGACUCUCAACUUCUAUGCAACAUGGUAUCCUUUUAUUGACUUCAUUAACACAAUCGAACAUGGUUUCACCCUCCAUCAACUCAUGGAGAUACUUUCGUUUGAUUACCUUUCUUGGAAUGUCUAAAACUAUCAGCUGCUAUUUUUCUUUCUUUCCUG
rnacentral:lncRNA from 1 species